rnacentral:rRNA from 1 species
ACUCCUACGGGAGGCAGCAGUGGGGAAUAUUGCACAAUGGGCGCAAGCCUGAUGCAGCCAUGCCGCGUGUAUGAAGAAGGCCUUCGGGUUGUAAAGUACUUUCAGCGGGGAGGAAGGCGAUAAGGUUAAUAACCUUGUCGAUUGACGUUACCCGCAGAAGAAGCACCGGCUAACUCCGUGCCAGCAGCCGCGGUAAUACGGAGGGUGCAAGCGUUAAUCGGAAUUACUGGGCGUAAAGCGCACGCAGGCGGUCUGUCAAGUCGGAUGUGAAAUCCCCGGGCUCAACCUGGGAACUGCAUUCGAAACUGGCAGGCUAGAGUCUUGUAGAGGGGGGUAGAAUUCCAGGUGUAGCGGUGAAAUGCGUAGAGAUCUGGAGGAAUACCGGUGGCGAAGGCGGCCCCCUGGACAAAGACUGACGCUCAGGUGCGAAAGCGUGGGGAGCAAACAGGAUUAGAAACCCGGGUAGUCCCAUGAU